rnacentral:rRNA from 1 species
UACGUAGGUGGCAAGCGUUGUCCGGAUUUACUGGGCGUAAAGAGCGCGCAGGCGGUCGUUCAAGUCGCGUGUGAAAGCCCCCGGCUCAACUGGGGAGGGUCACGCGAUACUGAUCGACUCGAAGGCAGGAGAGGGGAAGUGGAAUUCCCGGUGUAGUGGUGAAAUGCGUAGAUAUCGGGAGGAACACCAGUGGCGAAGGCGACUUCCUGGCCUGUUCUUGACGCUGAGGCGCGAAAGCGUGGGGAGCAAACAGGG